GAUGAAGAACGUAGCGAAAUGCGAUAAGUAAUGUGAAUUGCAGAAUUCAGUGAAUCAUCGAAUCUUUGAACGCACAUUGCGCCCCCUGGUAUUCCGGGGGGCAUGCCUGUCCGAGCGUCAUUACAACCCUCAAGCUCAGCUUGGUGUUGGGCCCCGCCGCCCCGGCGGGCCCUAAAGUCAGUGGCGGUGCCGUCCGGCUCCGAGCGUAGUAAUUCUUCUCGCUCUGGAGGUCCGGUCGCAUGCUCGCCAGCAACCCCCAAUUUUUUCAGGUUGACCUCGGAUCAGGUAGGGAUACCCGCUGAACUUAAGCAUAUCAAUAAGCGGAGGA
rnacentral:misc_RNA from 1 species